GUGGGUGAUAGGGUGUGUGGAAUGCAAGGGUCACCCCGAGUGCUGCCCAGACUUCCUUAGUCACUAGUGCUAUAAAAGCCGGGCCCUGGUCACUUUCAAUCACUUCAGGAACUCCAUAUCUACAGACAAUUUCAGUGAGCAACCGCUUGGCAGUGGUCUUGGCGGUCAUAUUAGUGACCGGAAAAGCUUCUGGCCAUCCUGAGAACAUGUCCACCAUAACUAGGGCAUAUUCAUACCGGCCACUCUUUGGCAUCUGAAUGUGGUCAAUUUGGACUCUCUGGAAUGGGUAGUGUGGCUUCGCCAGGUGUUUGGGGGACACUUUCUCCAAUUUUCCCGGAUUGCACUUGGCACAGAUAGCACAAGACUUACAGUAGGUUUUAGUCAGAGUGGUAAUACCUGGUGCUUCAAAAUAUUUAGCAAUUAAAGAGUUCAUGAGUGUCUUAGACAAGUGCGCUGCUCCGUG